rnacentral:rRNA from 1 species
AGUACGUGAAACCGUUCAGGGGUAAACCUGAGAAACCCGAAAGAUCGAAUGGGGAGAUUCAUCGUCAGCGAUUUUGGUACGUGUGCGGUUCGGGAUGCCGGUGACUUCGGUCACUCGACACUCGUCUGCAUGCUUAUUAUUGCCUGAAUCGUCGGCGUGCACUUCUCCCCUAGUAGGACGUCGCGACCCGUUGGGUGUCGGUCUACGGCUCGGAUGGUAGCCUGUCUCGCGUGCGUCUCACGGCGUUUCGCGUGUCAGACCUCCGAUCGCGCGACCGGCUGCUCGGCGGUACUCGCACGGUAUCUGGCCGCAAAUAUUUGAACUGCGUCCGGCCCGUCGCAAGCGAGGCAAGUGUUCCCGGCUGUACGGAUUUAAUGCCGUCGCCGGGCCUUGACAGCUGUUGGUUGACGGUGUCCUGGGACUGGCCACCAAAAUUAUGAUACCGGUCGGCGACGCUACUGCUUUGGGUACUUUCAGGACCCGUCUUGAAACACGGACCAAGGAGUCUAACAUGUGCGCGAGUCAUUGGGAACUAUUAAACCUAAAGGCGCAAUGAAAGUGAAGGUCAGCCUUGCGCCGACCGAGGGAGGAUGGGCCGCGUCACGAUGCGGUCUCGCACUCCCGGGGCGUCUCGUUCUCAUUGCGAGAAGAGGCGCACCCAGAGCGUACACGUUGGGACCCGAAAGAUGGUGAACUAUGCCUGGUCAGGACGAAGUCAGGGGAAACCCUGAUGGAGGUCCGUAGCGAUUCUGACGUGCAAAUCGAUCGUCGGAACUGGGUAUAGGGGCGAAAGACUAAUC